rnacentral:lncRNA from 1 species
AUGAACAAAGCUAGUGGAGGUGAUGGAAUUCCAGUUGAGCUGUUUCAAAUCCUGGAAGAUGAUGCUGUGAAAGUGCUGCGCUCAAUAUGCCAGCAAAUUUGGAAAACUCAGCAGUGGCCACAGGACUGGAAAAGGUCAGUCUUCAUUCCAAUCCCAAAGAAAGGCAAUGUCAAAGAAUGCUCAAACUACCACACAAUUGCACUCAUCUCACAUGCUAGUCAAGUAAUGCUCAAAAUUCUCCAAGCCAGGCUUCAGCAAUACGUGAACCAUGAACUUCCUGAUGUUCAAGCUGGAUUUAGAAAAGGCAGAGGAACCAGAGAUCAAAUUGCCAACAUCCACUGGAUCAUGGAAAAAGCAAGAGAGUUCCAGAAAAACAUCUAUUUCUGCUUUAUUGACUAUGCCAAAGCCUUUGACUAUAUGGAUCACAAUAAACUGUGGAAAAUUCUGAAAGAGAUGGGAAUACCAGACCACCUAACCUGCCUCUUGAGGAAUCUGUAUGCAGGUCAGGAAGCAACAGUUAGAAUUGGACAUGGAACAACAGACUGGCUCCAAAUAGGAAAAGGAGUGCAUCAAGGCUGUAUAUUGUCACCCUGCUUAUUUAACUUCUAUGCAGAGUACAUCAUGAGAAAUGCUGGACUGGAAGAAACACAAGCUGGAAUCAAGACUGCCAGGAGAAAUAUCAAUAACCUCAGAUAUGCAGAUGACACCAUCCUUAUGGCAGAAAGUGAAGAGGAGCUAAAAAGCCUCUUGAUGAAAGUGAAAGAGGAGAGUGAAAAAGUUGGCUUGAAGCUCAACAUUCAGAAAACGAAGAUCAUGGCAUCUGGUCCCAUCACUUCAUGGGAAAUAGAUGGGGAAACAGGGGAAAUAGAUGGGGAAACAGUGGAAACAGUGUCAGACUUAAUUUUGGGGGGCUCCAAAAUCACCGCAGACGGUGACUGCAGCCAUGAAAUUAAAAGACACUUACUCCUUGGAAGAAAAGUUAUGACCAACCUAGAUUGUAUAUUCAAAAGCAGAGACAUUACUUGGCCAACUAAGGUCUGCCUAGUCAAGACUAUGGUUUUUCCAGUGGUCAUGUAUGGAUGUGAGAGUUGGACUGUGAAGAAGGCUAAGCACAGAAGAAUUGAUGCUUUUGAACUGUGGUAUUGGAGAAGACUCUUGAGAGUCCCUUGGACUGCAAGGAGAUCCAACCAGCCCAUUCUGAAGGAGCUCAACCCUGAGAUUUCUUUGGAAGGACUGAUGCUAAAGCUGAAGCUCCAGUACUUUAGCCACCUCAUGCAAAGAGUUGACUCAUUGGAAAAGGCUCUGAUGCUGGGAGGGAUUGGGGGCAGGAGGAGAAGGGGACGACCGAGGAUGAGAUGGCUGGAUGGCAUCACGGACUCGAUGGACGUGAGUCUGAGUGAACUCCGGGAGAUGGUGAUGGACAGGGAGGCCUGGUGUGCUGCGAUUCCUGGGGUCGCAGAGUCGGACACGACUGAGCGACUGAACUGA